UUUUACAGUGCCUUAUCACCCUGCAAUCCAAGACUAGUUACUCACUGAAGCUAAGAAGGGCUGAGCCUGCGGUUAGUACCUUAAUGGUGGACAUGGGAAAACUAGGUAGUUGUUGAAA
rnacentral:rRNA from 1 species